GCUCCCUUCGUCUAGCGGUGAGGACACCGCCCUCUCACGGCGGGAACAGGGGUUCGAUUCCCCUAGGGAGUACCA
rnacentral:tRNA from 1 species